rnacentral:rRNA from 1 species
CCCUUAGAUGUUCUGGGCUGCACGCACGCUACACUGAUGCGAUCAACAAGUUUUUCCUAUGUCGAUAGACACGGGUAAUCUUUUGAACUCGCAUCGUGAUGGGGAUAGAUUAUUGUAAUUAUUAAUCUUCAACGAGGAAUUCCUAGUAGGUGCAAAUCAUCAGUUUGCAUCGAUUACGUCCCUGCCCUUUGUACACACCGCCCGUCGCUGCUACCGAUUGGUUGAUCUGGUGAAUUAUUCGGACUGCCGGCUGAAGGGGUUUCCUCAUCUGCCAGCGGAAAGUCUUGUUAACCCUAUCAACUAGAGGAAGCAGAAGUCGUAACA